AACGUAGGAGGCGAACGUUAUCCGGAUUUACUGGGCGUAAAGCGCGUGUAGGUGGUUUGGUAAGUAGGGCGUGAAAGCUCCCGGCUCAACUGGGAGAGGUCGUUCUAAACUGCCGAGCUAGAGGAUGGUAGAGGGAGGUGGAAUUCCGGGUGUAGCGGUGGAAUGCGCAGAUAUCCGGAGGAACACCAGUGGCGAAAGCGGCCUCCUGGACCAUUCCUGACACUCAGACGCGAAAGCUAGGGUAGCAAACGGGAUUAGAUACCCGGGUAGUCCCUGAGCGGGCUGGCAA
rnacentral:rRNA from 1 species